GAUGAACGCUGGCGGCGUGCCUUCUACAUGCAAGUCGAGCGAACAGACGAGGAGCUUGCUCCUCUGACUUUAGCGGCGGACGGGUGAGUAACACGUGGAUAACCUACCUAUAAGACUGGGAUAACUUCGGGAAACCGGAGCUAAUACCGGAUAAUAUAUUGAACCGCAUGGUUCAAUAGUGAAAGACGGUUUUGCUGUAACUUAUAGAUGGAUCCGCGCCGCAUUAGCUAGUUGGUAAGGUAACGGCUUACCAAGGCGACGAUGCGUAACCGACCUGAGAGGGUGAUCCGCCACACUGGACCUGAGACACGUUCCAGACUCCUACGGGAGGCAGCAGUAGGGAAUCUUCCGCAAUGCGCGAAAGCCUGACGGAGCAACGCCGCGUGAGUGAUGAAGGUCUUCGGAUCGUAAAACUCUGUUAUUAGGGAAGAACAAAUGUGUAAGUAACUAUGCACGUCUUGACGGUACCUAAUCAGAAAGCUACGGCUAACUCCGUG
rnacentral:rRNA from 1 species